rnacentral:rRNA from 1 species
AUUCAGUCGGGACGUUAGCCGAUGGGAGAGGCGACGGCAUCGCGGACCUUUGCGGGCCGGGCCGAAGCUGAAACUCCCGGCGUGCCGACGCACUUUCCCCCGCCCAGUAGUACGCCGCGACCGGUGGAGUCACUUCUAAGCGUCAGUCGUAAGGGCUGGUAGCUGAAGGUGGCCGGUGGUACGCUCUUCGGAGAAACUGCCGGUGUUAUAUCUGUCCAACCCGGACGUGUCGCUCCACCGAGGCACGACCAGGCCCCAUUGGGCCAAUCCGCACCCUUCUUCGGAACGGGCGUCUCGCCAGGAGCCUGAGUUCGUUGGUUUCGCAGUCAUGCGUUCCUUCGUGAUCGGGCGACGUUGGGCGUGUUCGUUCGAGCGGUGCUGGAGGUCUGCGGCGAGUAGGUCGGUCACCCACCCGACCCGUCUUGAAACACGGACCAAGGAGUCUAACAUGUGCGCGAGUCAUUGAGUCUUGUUUAGGCUCAGAGGCGCAAUGAAAGUGAAGGAUGCCCUAGUUGGUGUCUGCGUUGGGAUCCCGGGGCCUCGAGCUCUGGGCGCACCAACGGCCCGUCCCGUCUGCCACGUCAGUGGGACGGAGCGAGAGCGUACACGUUGGGACCCGAAAGAUGGUGAACUAUGCCUGGGCAGGACGAGGCCAGAGGAAACUCUGGUGGAGGUCCGCAGCGAUUCUGACGUGCAAAUCGAUCGUCAGACCUUGGUAUAGGGGCGAAAGACUAAUCGAACCGUC